rnacentral:rRNA from 1 species
UGUUUCGGCUAGGGGGCCAUCCCGGCUUACCAACCCGAUGCAAACUGCGAAUACCGGAGAAUGUUAUCACGGGAGACACACGGCGGGUGCUAACGUCCGUCGUGAAGAGGGAAACAACCCAGACCGCCAGCUAAGGUCCCAAAGUCAUGGUUAAGUGGGAAACGAUGUGGGAAGGCCCAGACAGCCAGGAUGUUGGCUUAGAAGCAGCCAUCAUUUAAAGAAAGCGUAAUAGCUCACUGGUCGAGUCGGCCUGCGCGGAAGAUGUAACGGGGCUAAACCAUGCACCGAAGCUGCGGCAGCGACACUU